CUAGCGACUUCAGAGUUUGAUCCUGGCUCAGGAUGAACGCUAGCGGCACGCUUAACACAUGCAAGUCGAGCGGGGCACUUCGGUGCCUAGCGGCGGACGGGUGCGUAACGCGUGGGUAACCUGCCCUAUACAGGGGGAUAACGUAUAGAAAUGUACGCUAAUACCGCAUAAGCUCACAGAGUCGCAUGGCUCAGUGGGAAAAACUCCGGUGGUAUAGGAUGGGCCCGCGUCUGAUUAGCUAGUUGGAGAGGUAACGGCUCACCAAGGCGACGAUCAGUAGCCGGUCUGAGAGGAUGGACGGCCACAUUGGGACUGAGACACGGCCCAA
rnacentral:rRNA from 1 species